GAUGAACGCUGGCGGCGUGCCUAAUACAUGCAAGUCGAGCGAACAGACGAGGAGCUUGCUCCUCUGACGUUAGCGGCGGACGGGUGAGUAACACGUGGAUAACCUACCUAUAAGACUGGGAUAACUUCGGGAAACCGGAGCUAAUACCGGAUAAUAUAUUGAACCGCAUGGUUCAAUAGUGAAAGACGGUUUUGCUGUCACUUAUAGAUGGAUCCGCGCCGCAUUAGCUAGUUGGUAAGGUAACGGCUUACCAAGGAAACGAUGCGUAGCCGACCUGAGAGGGUGAUCGGCCACCCUGGAACUGAGACACGGUCCAGACUCCUACGGGAGGCAGCAGUAGGGAAUCUUCCGCAAUGGGCGAAAGCCUGACGGAGCAACGCCGCGUGAGUGAUGAAGGUCUUCGGAUCGUAAAACUCUGUUAUUAGGGAAGAACAAAUGUGUAAGUAACUAUGCACGUCUUGACGGUACCUAAUCAGAAAGCCACGGCUAACUACGUG
rnacentral:rRNA from 1 species